GACCUCGUAGCCCAGCUGGUAUAGCGUGCGCUGUACAAAAGCGUAGACCGUGUCCAUGUGUGAGUUUGAAUCCCACCGAGGUCA
rnacentral:tRNA from 1 species